UUGGGGAUGCUGACACCUGCCCAGUCAGUACUGAACUGAGGCUACUGCCUCAUUUCAGACAGGGCACCAGACAGCCUUCAGUUGGAAACAACAGACCAGAGCUGCAUUGCAGCAAGCAAUCUGGCCAUGUGAAAGGCUCUGUAUCCCAUCAGCAACCUUCCCCUGAGCUGUCCAGUUCCCUAAUCUGCACAUUAAAGACAGAAGUAGAAGUGAAGGAUUUUGCUUCAGAUUGAUAAUGCUGACUAGAUCUCUGGUGCACUGUACCUAUUCUGAUCUCACAACACCGAUGUAAAGCUGGAGUAACUGCAUCACAUCGAUGGAGGACAGAAUGAGAAGCUCUGAUUCUAGCCCAGGAGGAGUAAGGGCUGUGAGAGUCAGGGCUGCGGGCAGGAUUUACGGGAUUACAGAAUAUUCAAGAGUCUCCCCUGCUAACUGUCCAGCUUCCCCCAGGGCCAUGCACUCCUUUCACUGGAAUCUCAAUGCUGUCAUGGCACUGAGGUCAGAAUGCGGAAAUAAAGGAAGGACCAGGUCCAGUGGUCAAUGUUUCUGGUAGUAACCCUUAUACUCCUGCCUCAAAUCAAGUCUUUGGCAUGCAUUCUCCAUUGCAUGCACCUCAUUUGCCUUUAGACGGAGUGAGGUUAAAGAAUCUGCAUGUGGGAACUGUGGAAGUUUUGCCCCAGCAAUUUCGCUGGGGAGGUCAGAAUGUAUGGAGUCAGCCAGCUGUAGCUGGCACCUGUGUUUUUGGCUGAAAGGGACUGAACUGAUGGACCCCGCCUCCUUCUCCGCUCCUCCUCUAAACUUGGUUUAACACAACAGCACACACAGCUGUUAAAAGCUCACAAUCAACCCAGAAAGGAAAGAGCUAAAGGCAAAGGUUAUUUUUCACCAAGAAACAGCUCGGAGCGGAGUCAGAGAGGGACUUUGAUCCUCAGGGGUAGAAGUGCUGAAGCCCAGCUCUGCGCAAACAUUAGGAGGAGAGGAGGAGUAUAAAAUCCAAGCCCAUUCCAGUGUCUUUUUCCUUCAACCUUUUCCUUGGAAGGAUGCAGCCUCAAGACACAGGUGUUCAGUACAGCAGGUGGAACAACAGUAGUCGUGAUGAAGUCAGUGUGAACACAUCCACUGCCGAGGUGUCAGGAUGUAAAAGAAUCUACACGAAGCUGUGCACUGGGAAAAUCGGCAUUGCGGUUAAAGUGAUUGGAGGAAACAUCGUCUUUUGGACAGUUUUUGUCAUUGGCUACGUGACAGGUUACUAUGUGCACAAGUGCAAGUAGAAAUAACAGUGAAAUUCACCGGCAGGACCCAGGCCUGGAUUUCUCUGAUGAGAAGACAGGGUUCCCUCAGGUACAUGCUGCCUUUCCUCUCUUCUUCCCUCAUUCCUCACUGGACCACAGCCCAUGCAAUGGAGCCUUUCGCCAGGAUGCUUUUAAGAGCAAAGAUGCUGAGACAACCCAGAUCUGUGCUGUGGAAGGUCACACAAGGGAGAGGAAAAGCAUUUGAGCCACCCUGUGAGCAGUAUGUUUGCAGCAGUAUCUAUUGCUCUGGAUGGACUGGCCCAGAAUGCAUCUGUGGGAGAGAGAGGCCAGCACCAGAAAAGCCACAUUCGAUAGCACAAACUGCAAACUAAAGCAGCACAGAGUUUUUUAUUUACCAAGGGGUCUGGGUUUUUUUUUAAGUCACUGGUAAAGAAUGAAAGCUGGUCAGCAGCCUGGGGGGCAGAUCAGGGCAGGAGCUCGGGAGACUUCAGGGUAACAAAAGGCUGAAGCAAGGGAGGAUUUUGGGUUUGAUAUUCAUUGUACUAAUUUCUCAACUUCUCCUGCUGCUACUACCCACAAUUCAUGUAUUGCCCUGAAAUAGCUUCUGCGUCUGCUCACUAGUGUCACUGAUCCCUAGGCCACUCGUACGUAGGGCUCAGAAUCCUGAUGAUUGUGGGGCUCUCCGGGAGUUGUGGAGGGUAACAGCUGUUUAAUAGGCAUAUUAAGUUCUCGGAGUGCUUUUCAGCCGUGGAUCUCCAAGCAGCUCAUUCACAGGACUGCUUAUCAGAGGAGAGUGAUUCAUCCCAGCUGGACUGUCUGGCAAUCACUUCAGUGAGGGUAAACACCUGUGGGGUAGGUCUAACUUGGCAGAGUUGCCUCUUCUCCUGUUUACAAUGGUAUUGCUUAACUUUUCAUGAGAGGAGAGAUCUUGGCUGUUAAAAUAACUUUUCACCAGCUAUCUCAUGAGCAAAAUACAUUCCUGACCUAAUCACCUGACCAGAAUGAAAGAAGCAAGCACAAUUAAACCUGUCAGCCAGCAGAAAGCAACAGAGCAGAAAGAAUAUACAAAAGCUGACAUUUCUCCUCUGGCAAUAGCCUUUACUAACCUGACUUAAUGCUGGUUUCCUUGUUUGUCCUCAAAUGUGGUGGUGCUGCUAGAUGGGAGCUGUCUCUUUCCAAACACAGUCUGACACCGUUACUGGGGGCCUGAAUCGGUGCUUGUCCAAAGAGCUAUCCUGAAGGGGCAGGAGCCUAGUGUCCUCUGAGCACAGGCAGCAGCAGUGCCAACUUCCCCACGCUGUGCAUCUGACACACAUCAGUCAGGGGUACUUCUGGGUCUGAGCAGAGUUCAGCCUCCACCUCAAUUCUGUGCUCCCUCCAACAGACCACAAACAAGGAUGCUCACUGGUGCUGGAUGCAAUGGUAGUUUUGUGAUGUGAUCACCUGUCCCUCCUGGAACUGGGCUCAGACCCACCCAAUUGAUUUCACACACAGGCUACCAUGUGGUGGUAACUUUGGUUGCUGUUGACCUGGCUGAGAUUUGAACCAAGCAAUCUAGAGAAAAAAGUUCUCAGUAGAGGAGUGAUCGCAUUUUAAAACAUUGUAUGAGAGCACACCAAAUCUUUGGUGUUGGAGAUCGUUAGGAGAUUGAUGUGUGGUAAAUUGAGCCAGUUUCUUAUCUUACACCUACAUAAAUCCAGAGUAAUUCCACUCCAGUAUCUAGCUAAGGUAUUUAUGUGUUGACCCCUGUUGUAUCUCAUGCCUGACAGUAAUGAUGUGUGGAAGGAAUUAUGAAAUACAGUUAUCACUUAGCACACACUGGUCUCACUGAUGUAACUUGUGCCAGUGUCUGACACAUUGCUAGAGGCUGAAGCAGUGUUGCAGAGGAGGGAAUAUCACAGGCCAAGGUUCUGAUGCAACCUUAACACUUACCUCUUGGUACAGCAUUUGUGGAUGUAUCUUGAUAACUGGUUUAUUGCAUAUUUAGUCCUUUCCCCAAAUAUUAAAGUAGCACAUUCCCAAGGAACAAGAUGUACUGCUCAGGCGCUUUAUUGCUUAAAAGUCUAAUGAGUCAGCAGUUUGGCCAAAGUGGACUCUGAUACCCUCAUCCCACUUCCCCCACAGCUUCUGAAUACUAAGGCUUGUAGUUCUUGUUUGUUUUAGGACACUUGUCAACCUGUUUCCCUGGUCCAGAAACUUGCUGUAACCUUUUAGGAAACACGUCUCCUACAUUUCAAACAUCGAUUUAAACAGAAAGAAAAAAUCCCAUGUGUGCCAGUGAGUGUGUUGCUAAUAACGAUGGCUGCUGUUGUGUGACAGGCCCAUUUUUGGUAAUGCCACACGGUCCUGCUUAAAGAUCAUCUUCAACCUUGAUUUCCACUUACAGCAAGACAUUUCUAUCUAGAUGCAUAUUUCUAGUGCACCAAUCACUAUGGUAUGUUGGUCCCAUUUCCUGAGCCCACUAUGCUAUUGUGUUAUGUGUUUCAUUGUGGAUACACUGGGCCAUCUGGUACAGAUCAGAGUAACUUUACUGACCUGAACAAAGCAAUGCUGAUUUCCCCCACACAAAGAUCAUUUCUUAUCCUUCCCAAAUCCUCCAGGUAGAGCUGAGAUGAAUUAUUUGUAAUAAAAUAACUGAUAA